ACUGAGUUGCAGGAAUAAUGAGUUUCAGACAUGUGCUCAGCAGAUCCUUCAUGUAGCUACAUUUUAGGGAGGUGAGUUAAAAGAGAUGCAGGUGACUAGAUUCAGCUGAAAUACAGUCAUAAUGUAUUUUAGUGAAAACUGGAAGGUUAAUCCAAUUUAGAAGUCAUUUCCUGACCAUCUACUGCUAGGCACAAUGGGGUAUGCAGGCAUAUUUAAGACAUCUUAGUUUGAAUUAGAAAAGGAAAUGGGAAUGGAAUUGUAGUUUCUUUGCUCCAGGCCUGCUAAUAACAUACAUAGUGGCUUUGUUCAUAGAAUCUGUUACUAAUAUUGGCCUCAUUCACUGAAGUAAUAAAAUAUCUCUAAAGCAGAUAAAAUAGCAGUUAGCAGAAGACUUAAAAUAUCAAACUAAACUAACAGAUCAGUAGAACAUCAAGGCAAAAGAAAUGUCACAGGAGACUGUUUACAGUAAUUAGGUUCAGCCAUAUAGGGAGCUUUGUUGUGAUUAAUUUGAGAUUUCAGAAGCUCUGACAGUCCUUCAUGAGGACUG
rnacentral:lncRNA from 1 species